AAAAAGAUAAGCUAAAAUAAGCUACUGGGCCCAUACCCCAUUUAUAAAGAUAAACUUCUUUUCUUUUUA
rnacentral:tRNA from 1 species